GCACUGCCUCUUGUCAGUACAACUUUGACCCUCUCCUUUUUCUCUUGAUGUCCAUGGGGAGGGGUUUGCGAUUGAGACGAUUAUACGAAGAAGAACUCCUGCUGUGCUUCGUCAAUAUUCCCCUUUUCCCAGUGGUCCUCGUUCGAAUAGAAACGUUAAUUCCACCGAUUGUGAACAAAAUCGAAGUACAACUUUUGUCGUAGUUGGGGACGUGUGUGUGAUGCGCACGGCGUGCUAAGCUAGUAAACAUAACACAAAUGAAACCAGUCCUUCCAGAAGUUCCAAUGGCAAGUGUAUCGUUGUCAUAAACAAACUCUGGCCACUGUAUGCUUUUAUAUGUUAUAUUAUGUGCCAUGGAAAGACUUUAAAAUGUUUAAAAUACGUACUCACAUUGAAGACCUUCCAAGUGUAAUUAUUGUCCAUGAUCCAAAACACCUGCGCCGCAGUGCACAGAUGAGGCAAAAUGUCGAGUGCCUCUCGAGUCGAUAUUUCCUCACGUUGCGGUUAUCUUUUCGGAUGAAAAAAUAAUCGUUAUCUUGGUGAGGAAAAGUUCUUGGGUGCCUUAAUGGGAGGUGGGAGGGCUUCGUGGUUAAACUGCGGGGAGUCUCCCUCCACUUUCCUUCCCACGAGGUCUCUGUUGUGUUGGUGCCGGCUCCUCCUUUUGGGAGGAGAAUGAUGACGUCGUGUUUGGGAAGUACCGUGUAACUAUUCGUUUUUCUUCAACUGUUUUUUUCUCACUUCUAAUAAACGUAGGGGAUUAUUUGGCUCUGGCUCGCAAUAAUUUAAAAAUAGAUAAAUAAUAAUAAGUAUUCGUAUUAGAAUACCGAGAGUUCCGCUUGAAAUUGAAACGGAUUUACAUGGGACAGGAGAAGUGAACCAAUCUUUUUUUUCGUCAAUUGAUCCAACAGCAGUUUAGUUUCAAACUUAGCUUGUACCAGACGUGUACACAUUUUGAGCAUGACGUCUCUGAUCCACUGGUGAAAGGACACUUUGAUUCUCUCCUCUUUCAUCUCGAAUUCCUUCAAACAACAAAGCGUAUUCAGGAAAAGUGGCUAAGAUUGCACCACUGUCCGUGUUUGAUGUUAUGUGUUGUGUUAUAUUAUUUUGUUAUUUUAUAUGAACUGUUGAUGUUAUGUUUAUGUUAAGAAACCUGCCCGGCUGAAAACUAGACCGCGCAUUUACACCGUUUUUUCUUGUGUUGAUGAAUGUGCACUGUCCCAAUGAAAUAAAUAAAUAAAAGAAA